rnacentral:rRNA from 1 species
AGUGAACGCUGGCGGUAGGCCUAACACAUGCAAGUCGAACGGCAGCACAGUAAGAGCUUGCUCUUACGGGUGGCGAGUGGCGGACGGGUGAGGAAUACAUCGGAAUCUACUUUUUCGUGGGGAUAACGUAGGGAAACUUACGCUAAUACCGCAUACGACCUACGGGUGAAAGCAGGGGAUCUUCGGACCUUGCGCGAUUGAAUGAGCCGAUGUCGGAUUAGCUAGUUGGCGGGGUAAAGGCCCACCAAGGCGACGAUCCGUAGCUAGUCUGAGAGGAUGAUCAGCCACACUGGAACUGAGACACGGUCCAGACUCCUACGGGAGGCAGCAGUGGGGAAUAUUGGACAAUGGGCGCAAGCCUGAUCCAGCCAUACCGCGUGGGUGAAGAAGGCCUUCGGGUUGUAAAGCCCUUUUGUUGGGAAAGAAAAGCAGCAGGUUAAUACCCCGCUGUUCUGACGGUACCCAAAGAAUAAGCACCGGCUAACUUCGUG